UACAGUAGUAUGAUAUAUGUG
rnacentral:piRNA from 1 species